GUGAGGAAUAUUGGUCAAUGGGCGGAAGCCUGAACCAGCCAUCCCGCGUGAAGGAAGGCGGCCCUAUGGGUUGUAAACUUCUUUAGUACAUGAAGAACAGGAUCUACGCGUAGGUUUAUGACGGUAAUGUACAAAAAAGCAUCGGCUAACUCCGUGCCAGCAGCCGCGGUAAUACGGAGGAUGCGAGCGUUAUCCGGAUUCAUUGGGUUUAAAGGGUACGUAGGUGGCCCUGUAAGUCAGUGGUGAAAAUCUGCCGCUUAACGGUAGGGAUGCCAAUGAUACUGCGGGGCUUGAGUACAGUUGAGGUAGGUGGAAUGUGUAGUGUAGCGGUGAAAUGCAUAGAUAUUACACAGAACUCCGAUUGCGAAGGCAUCUUACUAAGCUGAAACUGACACUGAUGUACGAAAGCGUGGGGAUCGAACAGGAUUAGAAACCCUGGUAGUCC
rnacentral:rRNA from 1 species